ACGAGCGCUGGCGGCAUGCCUAAUACAUGCAAGUCGAACGAACACUUCGGUGUUAGUGGCGCACGGGUGCGUAACGCGUGGGAAUCUACCCUUGGGUUCGGAAUAACAGUGGGAAACUACUGCUAAUACCGGAUGAUGACGUAAGUCCAAAGAUUUAUCGCCCAGGGAUGAGCCCGCGUAGGAUUAGCUAGUUGGUAAGGUAAAAGCUUACCAAGCUACGAUCCUUAGCUGGUCUGAGAGGAUGAUCAGCCACACUGGGACUGAGACACGGCCCAGACUCCUACGGGAGGCAGCAGUAGGGAAUAUUGGACAAUGGGGGCAACCCUGAUCCAGCAAUGCCGCGUGAGUGAUGAAGGCCUUAGGGUUGUAAAGCUCUUUUACCCGAGAUGAUAAUGACAGUAUCGGGAGAAUAAGCUCCGGCUAACUCCGU
rnacentral:rRNA from 1 species